CCUUCUAUUACUUCAUGCUUCACAUUACCAACAAAAGCCUCACUGUUCUCUUCAUGGGUGCUGGUUGCGAGACCUAGUGCAUGGUAAGUGAGGUUUGAAGUUCCAGACAAAGAUGAUCCAGUGCUUUGAGGUCUAGUGUUUGCGUCAUAUCUGUAGUUAUCCAUGUCAUAUUUCCUGCCACUUAACUGCCGUUGAACACGAGUUUCGACUUGCCUGCCGGAGCUGAAGUCAAUAGAGGAUGAAGCAGAGGUACUGGCAUGUCCAAAGGAGCUUCUCAAACUGUUUGCACCAUCUCGAGUAUAAGAGAAAUCAUCGUAAGUGAUG
rnacentral:misc_RNA from 1 species